rnacentral:rRNA from 1 species
GAUGAACGCUGGCGGCGUGCCUAACACAUGCAAGUCGAGCGAACGGACGAGAAGCUUGCUUCUCUGAUGUUAGCGGAGGACGGGUGUGUAACACGUGGAUAAUCUCCUUAUAAGACUGGGAUCACCUCGGGAAACCGGCGCUAAUCCCGGAUGAUCUUUUGAACCACAUGGUUCAAUAGUGAAAGACGGCCUUGCUGUCUCUUAUAGAUGGUUCCGAGCUGCAUUAGCUAGUUGGUACGGUAACGGCUUAUCAAGGCAACGAUGCAUAGCCGACCUGAGAGGGUGAUCGGCGACACUGGAACUGAGACACGGUCCAGACGCCUACGGGAGGCAGCAGUAGGGAAUCGUCCGCAAUGGGCGAAAGCCUGACGGAGCAACGCCGCGUGAGAGAUGAAGGUCUUCGGAUCGUAAAACUCUGUUAUUAGGGAAGAACAGAUGUGUAAGUAGCUGUACACAUCUUGACGGUACCUAAUCAAGAAGCCACGGCUAACUACGUG